GGGGAUUUAGCUCAGUGGUUCCGGCAUCUGCCUCUCAAGCACAAGGUCUGGAGUUCAAUCCCCA
rnacentral:tRNA from 1 species